rnacentral:rRNA from 1 species
AGCGAACGCUGGCGGCAGGCCUAACACAUGCAAGUCGAACGGAUCCUUCGGGAUUAGUGGCGGACGGGUGAGUAACACGUGGGAACGUGCCCUUUGGUUCGGAACAACUCAGGGAAACUUGAGCUAAUACCGGAUGUGCCCUUCGGGGGAAAGAUUUAUCGCCAUUGGAGCGGCCCGCGUCUGAUUAGCUAGUUGGUGAGGUAAAGGCUCACCAAGGCGACGAUCAGUAGCUGGUCUGAGAGGAUGAUCAGCCACAUUGGGACUGAGACACGGCCCAAACUCCUACGGGAGGCAGCAGUGGGGAAUCUUGCGCAAUGGGCGAAAGCCUGACGCAGCCAUGCCGCGUGAAUGAUGAAGGUCUUAGGAUUGUAAAAUUCUUUCACCGGGGACGAUAACGACGGUACCCGGAGAAGAAGCCCCGGCUAACUUCGUGCCAGCAGCCGCUGUAAAAC